UACAGAGGGUGCAAGCGUUAAUCGGAGUUACUGGGCGUAAAGGGCGCGUAGGCGGUCAUGCAAGUGAGAUGUGAAAUCCCCGGGCUUAACCUGGGAACUGCAUUUUAGACUGUGUGACUGGAGUACUGUAGAGGAUAGUGGAAUUUUCCGGUGUAGCGGUGAAAUGCGUAGAGAUCGGAAGGAACACCAGUGGCGAAGGCGACUGUCU
rnacentral:rRNA from 1 species